rnacentral:rRNA from 1 species
CGGACGGGUGAGUAACACGUGGAUAACCUACCUAUAAGACUGGGAUAACUUCGGGAAACCGGAGCUAAUACCGGAUAAUAUUUUGAACCGCAUGGUUCAAAAGUGAAAGGCGGUCUUGCUGUCACUUAUAGAUGGAUCCGCGCUGCAUUAGCUAGUUGGUAAGGUAACGGCUUACCAAGGCAACGAUGCGUAGCCGACCUGAGAGGGUGAUCGGCCACACUGGAACUGAGACACGGUCCAG